AACCGCAACUGUUCUAUCGCCGGCCACGCGAGUGGCGGGAGGAAAGUCCGGGCAACACAGGGUCCCAUACUUCCUAACAGGAAGGUGUCCCGCAAGGGGCAACAGAGAGCGCCACAGAAAAGAUACCGCCUGCGCCAACACGGCACCGUUCCGGAGCAGGUAAGGGUGAAAACGCGAGGCAAGAGCUCACGACGCAUGGCAGCGAUGCCUGUGAUGGCAAGCCUUAUGGGUUGAAAGACCAAAUAUACCGGCAGUCAAGGGCUGACCCGUC
rnacentral:RNase_P_RNA from 1 species